CUCAAGGCCAGCCUGAAUUGCAUAGUGAGACCCUGUCUCAAAAAGACCCAAGGGAAAAAGAAAUGAAUUUAUAGAUCCUGGAGUGGAACAUUUUCAGUGUGACCUUGGAGAAGAUUCCAGUUAUAAUGGAGUUGUGCAUUUUUAGGCAUUUUUCUCGUUUUCCUUGGAUCUGAGUUCACCUCUUAUAAAAAGAGACAUCGCCAGAAACAAGAUCCUCCAUGGAAGAGAACUACUCUAUUUCGGAAGGAGUGUCCAAGCAGAGGCAGUAUCCAGAAAGGAGCAAAGUUUACAUUUUCGCAGGCUCUAGUUUUCAAACACUGAAUAUACAGGUACUAUAGAAAAACAGUUUUUAAAAUGACUUACAUUGAAGCACCUCCAUCUCUGUUUUUCAUAGCUUUUGUAUGAGUUCUGUAACUCAAAGGGUAAAACCACAAGAAAUGAGUGUGUGGAGCAACUUUUGGUGAAGACUUAGUGUUACUUCAUUUAGUAUGUUGUAAUUUAUUUCACCUGUUUUCUCACUUUUAAAUUUUCUUCGAGAAUACGAAGUGAUACUUUAUUUUAAAAAUGAACAGAAAACAAGUAUAUUCACCUGGUAAAAAUCUUUUGCACAUCCACGUUCCACAUGCCUGUCAUAGUCACAGGUGGACAUAUGAGAGCUUCUUUGUGUCCCUUCCUACGCCUCUACAGGGUAAAUGAUGUUGUUGCACAGAGAGACAUUUUUCCAAGGUGUUAAGAUUUAGGUCUAAAAUGUCCCCAAAAGCUCUUCUGUUAAAGGUUUGGUCCCAGUGCGGCACUGUUCAAUGUUGGGAGAAAAUUGUAUCACAAGAACUCUGACCUCAUCAGUGGUUUAAUUCAUUGAUGGAUUCAUAACUUAAUGGGCUAUCAGGAGUUGGUGGAAACAUUAGGAGGUAUGACCUGAUAGCAGUAAGUAGGUCAUUGGGGGUAUACCCUUGAAGGGUGUAUUUUCUCUCCUACCCCUUUCCCUUUCUUCCCUUCCUUGCCACCAAGAGGAGCAGCUUUGCUCUACUGUGUACUUCCUCCCAGGACUUUUUACUUCAGGCCCAAUGCCAGAGGGCCAUGUAACCAUGGAGGGAAAUCUCUGAAACAGCCAAAAACAAAUCUUUCCCUCUGACUUCCCUCAGAUAUUUUGUCACAGUCAUGCAAACCUCACUGACAUAGUGGGUGAUGUUUGUUUGUACCUUUUUAUGUAGGUGAAUCCAGGAGUUGCAAGGCAGUUCGUAUCUCUAGUGACUUCAUUCCUUUUUUUUCUACCCAGAUACUCUUUCAUAGGUUUCUACAUGUUUCAAAGAUCAGCAGAAAAUGGACAAAUCCCAUAGUGAAUUCUUCCCCAUCACUGGCUGGAAUUUGACCUGUAAAAGUCAAUGAAGAUAUAUUAUUAAUUGUGGCAAAACACAUGCAACACAAAAUUAAUGUAAAGUGUAUUAACCAGUGGCAUUUAGUAUAUUCACAGUGUUGUGCAUAAUCCCUAGUUCCAGAGCAUUGUCAUCACCCUGAAACAAAAUCUCAUAUCCUUUAAAGUUACUUUCCAUUAGCCCCUAACCCCUGGCAAACACUAAUCUACAUUCAGUCUCAACAGACUUUUUCAAAUUCUGGAUAUUUUAUAUAAAUAUAAUCAUACAAUUUGUGCACUUUGGGUGUCUGACUUCUUUCAUGUUGUAUAAUGUUUUCAGGAUUUAUCUGUGUAGUAGUUUGUACCUUUCUUUUUUAUGGCUGAAUAAUACUUCAUUAUAUGAAUGUAUCUUAUUUUAUUUAUUCAUGAUUGACUUUUAGGCUGUUUAUACUUUAUGGCUAUUGUGAAGAGAAUUUCAGCAAAUAUUUGUAUAUAGUGUAACUAUUUGUUUGAACAUCUAUUUUUAAUUCUUUUUGAUAUACCUAGAAAUAGAAUUGCUGUGUAUAUAUUUAUUGUCUUUAACUUAUUUAAAGUACUGCCAAACUAUUUUUCAUUACAGUGCUCAAUUUUGUAUUUCUACAAACAGUGUGUAAGUGUUCAAAUUUCUCUACAUCCUAGACAAUGCUUGUUAUCAUUUUAAAACUAUAGCCAUUUUAGUAUGUGAACUUGUAUCUCAUUGUGGUUUUGUUUGUCCCUAAUGACACUGAACAUCUUCUCGUAUACUUUUGGCCAUUUGUAUAUGUUUUUCUGCAGAAGUAUAUAUUCAAGUCCCUUGUCUGUUUUUACCUGGGUUUUUUUAUUAUGAGAGUACUUUCUGUGUGCUAGACCCUUGUCAGAUAUAUGAUUGUCAAAUACUU